UCCUCAGUAGUAUAGUGGUUAGUAUUUCCGCCUGUCAGUGUAAGCAACGCGGGAGACCAGGGUUCAAUUCCCUGCUGGGGAG